GAGUUUGAUCGUGGCUCAGAGUGAACGCUGGCGGUAGGCCUAACACAUGCAAGUCGAACGGUAACAGGUCUUUCGGGAUGCUGACGAGUGGCGGACGGGUGAGGAAUACAUCGGAAUCUGCUCAGUCGUGGGGGAUAACGCAUGGAAACGUGCGCUAAUACCGCAUACGACCUUCGGGUGAAAGCAGGGGAAUCUCUCGGGAUCCUUGCGCGAUUGAAUGAGCCGAUGUCGGAUUAGCUAGUUGGUAGGGUAAAAGCCUACCAAGGCCACGAUCCGUAGCUGGUCUGAGAGGAUGAUCAGCCACACUGGGACUGAGACACGGCCCAGACUCCUGCGGGAGGCAGCAGUGGGGAAUAUUGGACAAUGGGGGCAACCCUGAUCCAGCCAUACCGCGUGGGUGAAGAAGGCCUUCUGGGUUGUAAAGCCCUUUUGUUGGGGAAGAAAAACAACGGGUUAAUACCCCGUUGGUAUGACGGUACCCAAAGAAUAAGCACCGGCUAACUUCGUGCCAGCAGCCGCGGUAAUACGAAGGGUGCAAGCGUUACUCGGAAUUACUGGGCGUAAAGGGUGCGUAGGUGGUUGCGCCAGUCUGUCGUGAAAGCCCUGGGCUUAACCUGGGAAUGGCGAUGGAAACUGUGCAACUAGAGUGUGACAGAGGGUGGUGGAAUUCCUGGUGUAGCAGUGAAAUGCGUAGAGAUCAGGAGGAACAUUCGUGGCGAAGGCGGCCACCUGGGUCAACACUGACACUGAGGCACGAAAGCGUGGGGAGCAAACAGGAUUAGAUACCCUGGUAGUCCACGCCCUAAACGAUGCGAACUGGAUGUUGGGUCCAACUUGGGAUUCAGUAUCGAAGCUAACGCGUUAAGUUCGCCGCCUGGGGAGUACGGUCGCAAGACUGAAACUCAAAGGAAUUGACGGGGGCCCGCACAAGCGGUGGAGUAUGUGGUUUAAUUCGAUGCAACGCGCAGAACCUUACCUGGCCUUGACAUGCACGGAACCUUUG
rnacentral:rRNA from 1 species